GAUGAACGCUGGCGGCGGGCCUAAUACAUGCAAGUCGAGCGAAGCGGGGACGGGUGAGUAACACGUGGAUAAACUCCUAGAAGACUGGGAUAAAUUCGGGAAACCGGAGCUAAACCGGAUAAUUAUAGAUGGAUCCACGUUGCAUUAGCUAGUUGGUAGGGUAACGGCUUACCAAGGCAACGAUGCAUAGCCGACCUGAGAGGGGGAGCGGCCAAACUGGAACUGAUACACGGUCCAGACUCCUACGGGAGGCAGCAGUAGGGAAUCUUCCGCAAUGGGCGAAAGCCUGACGGAGCAACGCCGCGUGAGUGAUGAAGGGCUUCGGAUUGUAAAACUCUGUUAUUAGGGAGGCGGUACCUAAUCAGGAAGCCACGGCUAACUACGUGCCAGCAGCCGCGGUAAUUC
rnacentral:rRNA from 1 species